CCUCCGGGUGGCUGCAGUGGGGAAUCUUGGACAAUGGGCGAAAGCCUGAUCCAGCCAUGCCGCGUGGGUGAAGAAGGCCUUCGGGUUGUAAAGCCCUUUUGUUGGGAAAGAAAUCCAGCUGGUUAAUACCCGGUUGGGAUGACGGUACCCAAAGAAUAAGCACCGGCUAACUUCGUGCCAGCAGCCGCGGUAAUACGAAGGGUGCAAGCGUUACUCGGAAUUACUGGGCGUAAAGCGUGCGUAGGUGGUCGUUUAAGUCCGUUGUGAAAGCCCUGUGCUCAACCUGGGAACUGCAGUGGAUACUGGGCGACUAGAGUGUGGUAGGGUAGCGGAAUUCCUGGUGUAGCAGUGAAAUGCGUAGAGAUCAGGAGGAACAUCCAUGGCGAAGGCAGUUACCUGGACCAAGACUGACACUGAGGAACGAAAGCGUGGGGAGCAAACAGGAUUAGAUACCCGAGUAGUC
rnacentral:rRNA from 1 species